GCCAGUGUGGUGUAGUGGUUUGAGCAUUGGACUACAACUCUGGAUGCCAGGCUUCAAAUCCAUGCUUGGCC